rnacentral:lncRNA from 1 species
GCUCAAUGUGCUAAGUUUGUGAGGACGAUGAGGCACUCCAUCUAUUGGAGGCAGUUACACAGGCGCAGUGGCCAGGCUGCUUGGAUUGGAGUCCCAGCCCCCACUAAGGAGCUGGGAGACCCAGGCCGAGAAAACUGAGGCUCAGAGAGGUCAAGUGACUUAAGGUUACACCAUGAAUGAUGGGUUCAAGACUGGAAUUCAGUCUGCAGUGUGUUGGCCUGAAUUUCUGACUCAUGCUGGAAUGUGGAACUGUCAGUCAUGGCAACAGCUCUGGGAGACCUGAGGUUGUGCAAAGAAGAAAAAGAAAUCACGAUUAUCUAAUAGUUCCUGCUGCAGUCAAGAUGAGGAAACUGAGGCCCAAAGAGGUAUCCAAAAUUCAACCCCCAUCCAGUGUUUCAAGAUUUGGGAAUGAACAUCAUAAAAUCCUGUAAUGUUAGGACCAUUUCACUGGUCUCAGUGAGCUAUCUUCAGUAGGCACUUCCUGGACAUUGCCCCUGGGAUGAGAUGACAAAGAAAGAGACUUGCGCUGUUUCUUCUGAGCAUCACGUUUGAAAAAUACAGGUGAGAUUCUCUCUGCUGGAAAGAGGAGUCUUCAGGCAAGUCAGUUUCUCUUCAGUCCUCAGAGGAAAAGAGCCUGUGUGGCAACACAGAAACCGGUUGCGAAACGAAUGUGCACGAGCCACGGGCCACCAACAUGGCUCAGCAGGCGAGGCCUGGAUCAUGUGUCUGACCUUCAGCAGAAGCAGUGAAUAUGGGCGUCAGCAAAGUUCACCCUUCUUGGAUACCAUCGCAAAGAACUAUCAGAUCAGAUCUAAUUUGAGCGAUCGGGGCAGGGGAGAAGGCAAAAACAGGAAACUUGGGAGAUUUGCUAAACAUUUCACUAAGGAGAAGAGUCUGCGGGCUAUGAGACAGUUUUUCAGAGGGAAACUAAAAGUCAGGCAGUGUUUGAGGGCACAUGUGAUGUCACCUAGACUUUUCAGAGCCUCUGGCACCCAAUUACCCAACCCGCUUCUGACUCCAUCGUUCUUUCUAUGUUCUCUUGGGAGCUGGGAAACA